GAUGAACGCUGGCGGCGUGCCUAAUACAUGCAAGUCGAGCGAACAGACGAGGAGCUUGCUCCUCUGACGUUAGCGGCGGACGGGUGAGUAACACGUGGAUAACCUACCUAUAAGACUGGGAUAACUUCGGGAAACCGGAGCUAAUACCGGAUAAUAUAUUGAACCGCAUGGUUCAAUAGUGAAAGACGGUUUUGCUGUCACUUAUAGAUUGAUCCGCGCCGCAUUAUCUAGUUGGUAAGGUAACGGCUUACCAAGGCGACGAUGCGUAGCCGACCUGAGAGGGUGAUCGGCCACACUGGAACUGAGACACGGUCAAGACUCCUACGGGAGGCAGCAGUAGGGAAUAUUCCGCAAUGGGCGAAAGCAUGACGGAGCAAAGCCGCGUGAGUGAUGAAGGUCUUCGGAUCGUAAAACUCUGUUAUUAGGGAAGAACAAAUGUGUAAGUAACUAUGCACGUCUUGACGGUACCUAAUCAGAAAGCCACGGCUAACUACGUG
rnacentral:rRNA from 1 species